GAUGAAGAACGCAGCGAAAUGCGAUACUUGGUGUGAAUUGCAGAAUCCCGUGAACCAUCGAGUCUUUGAACGCAAGUUGCGCCCGAAGCCAUUAGGCCGAGGGCACGCCUGCCUGGGCGUCACACGUCGUUGCCCCCCCAUCUACUCCUUCGGGAUUGCGGGGGGCGGAUGAUGGCCUCCCGUGCGCCUCGUCGCGCGGUUGGCAUAAAUGCCAAGUCCUCGGCGACGCACGCCACGACAAUCGGUGGUUGCGAAACCUCGGUUGCCCGUCGUGUGCGGUCGUCGCGCAUCGAGGGCUCGAAAAAAUUGUCGGGCUCCGGCUCGGCUUUCAACGCGACCCCAAGUCAGGCGGGGUUACCCGCUGAAUUUAAGCAUAUCAAUAAGCGGAGGA
rnacentral:misc_RNA from 1 species